CCCUUAGAUGUUCUGGGCCGCACGCGCGCUACACUGAUGCAUUCAACGAGUUUUACCUUGGCCGAGAGGCCUGGGCAAUCUUUUAAACCUGCAUCGUGAUAGGGAUAGAUUAUUGCAAUUAUUAAUCUUGAACGAGGAAUUCCUAGUAAACGCAGAUCACCAAUCUGCAUUGAUUACGUCCCUGCCCUUUGUACACACCGCCCGUCGCACCUACCGAUUGAAUGGUCCGGUGAAGCCUCGGGAUUGUGGCCAGUUCACUUUAUUGGGAGUUGGCUGCGAGAACUUGUCUAAACCUUAUCAUUUAGAGGAAGGUGAAGUCGUAACA
rnacentral:rRNA from 1 species